GGGGAAGGGUAGCUUGCUACCUGACCUAGCGGGCGGACGGGUGAGUAAAGCUUAGGAAUCUGCCUAUGAGAGGGGGACAACAUGCCGAAAGGAAUGCUAAUACCGCAUACGCCCUACGGGGGAAAGCAGGGGAUCUUCGGACCUUGCGCUAAUAGAUGAGUUUAAGCCAGACCAGCCAGGGGGGGGGGCAAAGGCCUACCAAGGCGACGAACAGAAGCCCCCACUGAGAGGAUGAUCCGCCCCACUGGGACUGAGACACGGCCCAGACUCCUACGGGAGGCAGCAGUGGGGAAUAUCGGACAAUGGGCGAAAGCCCGAUCCAGCCAUGCCGCGUGCGUGAAGAAGGCCUUAUUGGCCCGAAAAGCACCUUAAGCGAGGAGGAGGCUACCGAGAUUAACACUCUCGGAUAGGCGACCCCACUCGCAGAAAUAAAGCACCGCCUAACUCUGAGCCAGCAGCCGCGGGAAACAGAGGGUGCAAGCGUAAUUCGGAACCAACCG
rnacentral:rRNA from 1 species